UUAAAUUGAAGAGUUUGAUCAUGGCUCAGAUUGAACGCUGGCGGCAGGCCUAACACAUGCAAGUCGAGCGGUAGCACAGAAGAGCUUGCUCUUUGGGUGACGAGCGGCGGACGGGUGAGUAAUGUCUGGGAAACUGCCUGAUGGAGGGGGAUAACUACUGGAAACGGUAGCUAAUACCGCAUAACCUCGCAAGAGCAAAGAGGGGGACCUUCGGGCCUCUCGCCAUCAGAUGUGCCCAGAUGGGAUUAGCUAGUAGGUGAGGUAAUGGCUCACCUAGGCGACGAUCCCUAGCUGGUCUGAGAGGAUGACCAGCCACACUGGAACUGAGACACGGUCCAGACUCCUACGGGAGGCAGCAGUGGGGAAUAUUGCACAAUGGGCGCAAGCCUGAUGCAGCCAUGCCGCGUGUGUGAAGAAGGCCUUCGGGUUGUAAAGCACUUUCAGCGAGGAGGAAGGCGGUAAGGUUAAUAACCUUAUCGAUUGACGUUACUCGCAGAAGAAGCACCGGCUAACUCCGUGCCAGCAGCCGCGGUAAUACGGAGGGUGCAAGCGUUAAUCGGAAUGACUGGGCGUAAAGCGCACGCAGGCGGUCUGUUAAGUUGGAUGUGAAAUCCCCGGGCUUAACCUGGGAACUGCAUUCAAAACUGACAGGCUAGAGUCUUGUAGAGGGGGGUAGAAUUCCAGGUGUAGCGGUGAAAUGCGUAGAGAUCUGGAGGAAUACCGGUGGCGAAGGCGGCCCCCUGGACAAAGACUGACGCUCAGGUGCGAAAGCGUGGGGAGCAAACAGGAUUAGAUACCCUGGUAGUCCACGCUGUAAACGAUGUCGAUUUGGAGGUUGUGCCCUUGAGGCGUGGCUUCCGGAGCUAACGCGUUAAAUCGACCGCCUGGGGAGUACGGCCGCAAGGUUAAAACUCAAAUGAAUUGACGGGGGCCCGCACAAGCGGUGGAGCAUGUGGUUUAAUUCGAUGCAACGCGAAGAACCUUACCUACUCUUGACAUCCAGAGAAUUAGCUAGAGAUAGCUGAGUGCCUUCGGGAACUCUGAGACAGGUGCUGCAUGGCUGUCGUCAGCUCGUGUUGUGAAAUGUUGGGUUAAGUCCCGCAACGAGCGCAACCCUUAUCCUUUGUUGCCAGCGAUUCGGUCGGGAACUCAAAGGAGACUGCCGGUGAUAAACCGGAGGAAGGUGGGGAUGACGUCAAGUCAUCAUGGCCCUUACGAGUAGGGCUACACACGUGCUACAAUGGCGUAUACAAAGAGAAGCGACCUCGCGAGAGCAAGCGGACCUCAUAAAGUACGUCGUAGUCCGGAUUGGAGUCUGCAACUCGACUCCAUGAAGUCGGAAUCGCUAGUAAUCGUAGAUCAGAAUGCUACGGUGAAUACGUUCCCGGGCCUUGUACACACCGCCCGUCACACCAUGGGAGUGGGUUGCAAAAGAAGUAGGUAGCUUAACCUUCGGGAGGGCGCUUACCACUUUGUGAUUCAUGACUGGGGUGAAGUCGUAACAAGGUAACCGUAGGGGAACCUGCGGUUGGAUCACCUCCUUACC
rnacentral:rRNA from 1 species